GUACCUUUUGCAUCAUGAUCUAGCCAGUAAACCCAAGCAAAGAGAACUUUAGUCUGGGCCCCCGAAACUGGACGAGCUACUCCGAGACAGCCUAUUAUAGGGCGUAUCCGUCUCUGUUGCAAAAGAGUGGAGAGAGCUCCGAGUAGAAGUGAAAUACCUAUCGAGUCUAGUUAUAGCUGGUUGUUUAGGAAAUGAAUAGGAGUUCAGCCCCCCAGCUCUUUAAACCCAUAAGAUCCUUCUUCUUAAGGUGAAAAAGAACCAGGGGAGUUAUUCGAAGGAGGUACAGCUCCUUUGAACCAGGACACAACCUUAACAGGCGGUCAAGGAUCAUAAUUUUCAAGGUACACUGCUUCAGUGGGCUUAAGGGCAGCCAUCUGAUUAGAAAGCGUUAAAGCUCAACCAGCACACACCUCUUAUAAUGAUAACCUCUCCCCCACCCCUAAUUUUACUAAACCACCCCAUGCCCCCAUGGGAGCGACCAUGCUAGAAUGAGUAAUAAGAGGGGCCUACGCCCCUCUCCUCGCACAU
rnacentral:rRNA from 1 species